CCAGAGUCACAGUGCUCCCAUGAGCUUGGAAUCAAGCACAUACAGAUCAGCUCCAAGGCUGCAAACUCUAAGAAAUGGAUGCCAACAGAGGAAUACUGUGAUUUAAGGAAGUAUAUGGGCUGUGAGAUACAGGAGAACAAUAAUAAUAAUAAUAAUAAAGAGUUGUGAGGAUACUGGAGAACUGGUGCUCUCUGCUCCACAUCACAAAAAGACAGAAACGGUUGUGGGACUUUUGUGCUACUGGUGAAUGCUCUUACCCUGACUAGGAGUAUCCAUCCCAGACAACUGAUACAACACCAUGUAGAACAAACUUGAGCAAAAUGCAAGCACUCCAGUUGUAAUGUUCAAUUCCAGUGUUUGUGUGUGUAAAUACAUGUACUCCAAUUUAUUGUCUUUUGUAGUUACUGUACAUGCAUGACAACCUGUAAUUUGUAACCAAAAAAUCAUUCCUUUUAGCCAACAGAUUUGCUUUAAAAUGUAAAAAAAAAAAAAAAAAAACGUGUGGCGGAGAGAAAAUGUGCCCUGACUCUUUAAGGAUCCGCCACCAAUCCCAAUGCUGAGAGUAUAAAAUGGCUGCUCAUUUGCAUGUACCAGGUGUGUGAGACAAGUGUGGAGUGAUCAGAGUUGGAGAAAAUUUGCCCAGGGUACGUGUGAUAUCAGGAGCACCAUUGGAGUGGAUUACAAAAAGGUACUAGCUAGUGCUUAACAUCGUUUGCCUGGAUUCAAAGAAUGGACCGAACCAUCUAACCAUUGAUUCAAUGUUUAAAACAAAGUGGCGUGAGUAGCAGAGGAUCGCUGACCCGCUGAAGUGCUCUGUAGCAGAGUUUAGUUGGAUGACAAGUGUCUGAAGUGCUAGGUGAUCACCUAGGUUUGCAGACCUACUCCAUACACUCAUUUGUGACUCCCUCAACCCACACCAAGUUUUCAAUACUUAUUGUUGUUUGUUUAUUUUGAUUUAUUGUAUUAUUCAUCCAUUUGUCUUUCAUUUGUGAGAUCUGUUUGCCUUAUUUCUUUUGAAAUAAUAAACA